rnacentral:rRNA from 1 species
UACAGAGGUCCCGAGCGUUGUUCGGAUUCACUGGGCGUAAAGGGUGCGUAGGCGGCCGGGUAAGUCUGAUGUGAAAGCUCGGAGCUUAACUCCGAAAUGGCAUUGGAUACUAUCCGGCUUGAGGAUCGGAGGGGAGACUGGAAUUCUUGGUGUAGCAGUGAAAUGCGUAGAUAUCAAGAGGAACACCGGUGGCGAAGGCGAGUCUCUGGACGAUCACUGACGCUGAGGCACGAAAGCUAGGGGAGCAAACAGG